AACGGAAGGUGCAAGCGUUGCUCGGAAUCACUGGGCGUAAAGGGUGCGUAGGCGGCUUGGUAAGUUGGGUGUGAAAGCCCCGGGCUCAGCCCGGGAAGGGCACUCGAAACUGCCGAGCUGGAGUGCCGGAGGGGAGAGUGGAAUUCCUGGUGUAGCGGUGAAAUGCGCAGAUAUCAGGAGGAACACCGGUGGCGAAGGCGGGUCUCUGGGCCGAUACUGACGCUGAGGAGCGAAAGCGUGGGGAGCGAACAGG
rnacentral:rRNA from 1 species